rnacentral:rRNA from 1 species
CCUACGGGAGGCAGCAGUGGGGAAUAUUGCGCAAUGGGCGAAAGCCUGACGCAGCGACGCCGCGUGAGGGAUGAAGGUCUUCUGAUCGGAAACCUCUGUCAGCAGGGAAGAACGGUCACUGUGCUAAUCAUCAGUGAAUUGACGGUACCUGCAAAGGAAGCACCGGCUAACGCCGUGCCAGCAGCCGCGGUAAUACGGAGGGUGCGAGCGUUAAUCGGAAUUACUGGGCGUAAAGCGCGCGUAGGCGGUAUGUCAAGUCAAGGGUGAAAUCCCCGGGCUCAACGUGGGAACUGCCUUUGAAACUGGCCAACUAGAGUGUGUGAGAGGAUAGUGGAAUUCCAGGUGUAGGAGUGAAAUCCGUAGAUAUCUGGCGGAACAUCAGUGGCGAAGGCGACUAUCUGGCACAUAACUGACGCUGAGGAGCGAAAGCGUGGGUAGCAAACAGGAUUAGAUACCCUUGUAGUC